rnacentral:lncRNA from 1 species
UUCCUUCCUACGACAAAUCCUACUUGUUUUGGUGCAAUGAUCUUUGGAAAAACCACUUUAAAUCUAUUAGCAAUAACCUUCAUCACAAGCUUGUAAAAAACUGAACAAAGAUUCAUAGGGCGAAACUGCGAGAAACAUUCCAGAUGUUGUACUUCAGGUAUAAGGAUAAUAAGUGAAUUAUUAAGGUCUAAAUCAAUGUUAUCACUAGAGAAAACCCAUUUAACCCACUCACAAAUAGAAGGACCAACAAGUUUCCAC